rnacentral:rRNA from 1 species
CAGCAGCCGCGGGAAUACGUAGGUGGCAAGCGUUGUCCGGAAUUAUUGGGCGUAAAGCGCGCGCAGGUGGUUUAAUAAGUCUGAUGUGAAAGCCCACGGCUCAACCGUGGAGGGUCAUUGGAAACUGUUAAACCUGAGUGCAGGAGAGAAAAGUGGAAUUCCUAGUGUAGCGGUGAAAUACGUAGAGAUUAGGAGGAACACCAGUGGCGAAGGCGGCUUUUUGGCCUGUAACUGACACUGAGGCGCGAAAGCGUGGGAGCAAACAGGAUUAGAUACCCCCGUAGUCCCUGUCUCUUAUACA